GAUGAACGCUAGCGGCAGGCUUAAUACAUGCAAGUUGAGGGGCAGCAUGAUAUACGCAAGUAUAUUGAUGGCGACCGGCGGACGGGUGAGUAUAAGGUAGGAGACCUACCUCAUACAGGGGGAUAGCAUAGAGAAAUCUGUGGUAAUACCCCAUGAGGUUAUAUGAAUAGAGGCAUAUAAUCAAAGUAUACGAGAGUAUGCGGUAUGAGAUGGGCCUACUGACCAUUAGCUAGUUGGUGAGGUAAGGGCUCACCAAGGCGAAGAUGGUUAGGGGUUUUGAGAGAGAGAUCCCCCACAUUGGAACUGAGAUACGGUCCAGACUCCUACGGGAGGCAGCAGUAGGGAAUAUUGGGCAAUGGGCGAAAGCCUGACCCAGCCAUGCCGCGUGAAGGAAGACGGCCUUAUGGGUUGUAAACUUCUUUACUAUACGAAUAGAGGUUAGUACGAGUUACUAAUAGGAAGGUAGUAUAGCAAAAAGCACCGGCUAACUCCGUGCCAGCAGCCGCGGUAAUACGGAGGGUGCAAGCGUUAUUCGGAAUUACUGGGUUU
rnacentral:rRNA from 1 species